CCUACGGGAGACAGCAGUGAGGAAUAUUGGUCAAUGGGCGGAAGCCUGAACCAGCCAAGUAGCGUGCAGGAUGACGGCCCUACGGGUUGUAAACUGCGUUUAUAGGGGAAUAACGCGCCGUACGUGUAGGGCUUUGCAUGGACCGUAUGAAUAAGGACCGGCUAAGUCCGUGCCAGCAGCCGCGGUAAGACGGAAGGUCCGGGCGUUAUCCGGAUUUAGUGGGUUGAAAGGGAGCGUAGGGCGCAUGGCAAGCGUGCUGUGCAAUGUCCGGGCUCAACCCGGGCCUUGCAGCGCGAACUGGCGUGCUUGCGUCCGCGUCAAGCAGGCGGACUUCGUCGUGUAGCGG
rnacentral:rRNA from 1 species